rnacentral:rRNA from 1 species
UUCUGAAGAAGGAAUGAUUCCGCCACCACUGGGAACUGAGGACACGGUCCAGACUCUACGGGAGGCAGCAGUGGGAAUAUGACAUGGGCGCAGCUGAUCCAGCCAUGCCGCGUGUGUGAAGAAGCCUUAUGGUUGUAAAGCACUUUAAGCGAGGAGGAGGCUACUUUAGUUAAUACCUAGAGAUAGUGGACGUUACUCGCAGAAUAAGCACCGGCUAACUCUGUGCCAGCAGCCGCGGUAAUACAGAGGGUGCAAGCGUUAAUCGGAUUUACUGGGCGUAAAGCGCGCGUAGGCGGCUAAUUAAGUCAAAUGUGAAAUCCCCGAGCUUAACUUGGGAAUUGCAUUCGAUACUGGUUAGCUAGAGUGUGGGAGAGGAUGGUAGAAUUCCAGGUGUAGCGGUGAAAUGCGUAGAGAUCUGGAGGAAUACCGAUGGCGAAGGCAGCCAUCUGGCCUAACACUGACGCUGAGGUGCGAAAGCAUGGGGAGCAAACAGGAUUAGAUACCCUGGUAGUCCAUGCCGUAAACGAUGUCUACUAGCCGUUGGGGCCUUUGAGGCUUUAGUGGCGCAGCUAACGCGAUAAGUAGACCGCCUGGGGAGUACGGUCGCAAGACUAAAACUCAAAUGAAUUGACGGGGGCCCGCACAAGCGGUGGAGCAUGUGGUUUAAUUCGAUGCAACGCGAAGAACCUUACCUGGCCUUGACAUAGUAAGAACUUUCCAGAGAUGGAUUGGUGCCUUCGGGAACUUACAUACAGGUGCUGCAUGGCUGUCGUCAGCUCGUGUCGUGAGAUGUUGGGUUAAGUCCCGCAACGAGCGCAACCCUUUUCCUUAUUUGCCAGCGAGUAAUGUCGGGAACUUUAAGGAUACUGCCAGUGACAAACUGGAGGAAGGCGGGGACGACGUCAAGUCAUCAUGGCCCUUACGGCCAGGGCUACACACGUGCUACAAUGGUCGGUACAAAGGGUUGCUACCUAGCGAUAGGAUGCUAAUCUCAAAAAGCCGAUCGUAGUCCGGAUUGGAGUCUGCAACUCGACUCCAUGAAGUCGGAAUCGCUAGUAAUCGCGGAUCAGAAUGCCGCGGUGAAUACGUUCCCGGGCCUUGUACACACCGCCCGUCACACCAUGGGAGUUUGUUGCACCAGAAGUAGCUAGCCUAACUGCAAAGAGGGCGGUACCACGGUGGCCCGAU